CCUACGGGAGGCAGCAGUGGGGAAUAUUGGACAAUGGGCGCAAGCCUGAUCCAGCCAUGCCGCGUGGGUGAAGAAGGCCUUCGGGUUGUAAAGCCCUUUUGUCCGGAAAGAAAAGCUUCGGGUUAAUACCCCGGGGUCAUGACGGUACCGGAAGAAUAAGCACCGGCUAACUUCGUGCCAGCAGCCGCGGUAAUACGAAGGGUGCAAGCGUUACUCGGAAUUACUGGGCGUAAAGCGUGCGUAGGUGGUUCGUUAAGUCUGAUGUGAAAGCCCUGGGCUCAACCUGGGAAUUGCAUUGGAUACUGGCGAGCUAGAGUGCGGUAGAGGAUAGUGGAAUUCCCGGUGUAGCAGCGAAAUGCGUAGAGAUCGGGAGGAACAUCUGUGGCGAAGGCGACUAUCUGGGCCAGCACUGACACUGAGGCACGAAAGCGUGGGGAGCAAACAGGAUUAGAUACCCUGGUAGUCCACGCCCUAAACGAUGCGAACUGGAUGUUGGGUGCAACUGGCACUCAGUAUCGAAGCUAACGCGUUAAGUUCGCCGCCUGGGGAGGUACGGUCGUCGAGACGUUAGUAACGUUACGAAAGGAAGUUAGACGGCGUGAGACGNGCCGACGGACGACGACGAGGGAGGAGG
rnacentral:rRNA from 1 species